AUUGAACGCUGGCGGCAUGCCUUACACAUGCAAGUCGAACGGCAGCACGGGAGCAAUCCUGGUGGCGAGUGGCGAACGGGUGAGUAAAGUAUCGGAACGUGCCCAGUCGUGGGGGAUAACGUAGCGAAAGUUACGCUAAUACCGCAUACGAUCUAUGGAUGAAAGCGGGGGAUCGCAAGACCUCGCGCGAUUGGAGCGGCCGAUAUCAGAUUAGGUAGGUGGUGGGGUAAAGGCUCACCAAGCCGACGAUCUGUAGCUGGUCUGAGAGGACGACCAGCCACACUGGGACUGAGACACGGACCAGACUCCUACGGGAGGCAGCAGUGGGGAAUUUUGGACAAUGGGCGAAAGCCUGAUCCAGCCAUGCCGCGUGCAGGAUGAAGGCCUUCGGGUUGUAAACUGCUUUUGUACGGAACGAAAAGGUUUGGCCUAAUAAGCUGAGCUCAUGACGGUACCGUAAGAAUAAGCACCGGCUAACUACGUGCCAGCAGCCGCAGUAA
rnacentral:rRNA from 1 species